GGGGAGUACGAUCGCAAGAUUAAACUCAAAGGAAUUGACGGGCCCCGCACAAGCAGCGGAGCAUGCGGCUUAAUUCGACGCAACGCGAAGACCUUACCAAGGCUUGACAUAUAGCGAAAAGUGCAGAGAUGUCAUGUCCGCAAGGGCGCUAUACAGGUGGUGCAUGGUUGUCGUCAGCUCGUGUCGUGAGAUGUUGGGUUAAGUCCCGCAACGAGCGCAACCCUCGUUCUGUGUUACCAGCAUUCAGUUGGGGACUCACAGAAGACUGCCGGGGUCAACUCGGAGGAAGGUGGGGAUGACGUCAAAUCAUCAUGCCCCUUAUGUCUUGGGCUGCACGCAUGCUACAAUGGCCGGUACAAAGUGCUGCGAGAUCGUAAGAUUGAGCGAAUCACAUAAAGCCGGUCUCAGUUCGGAUUGAGGUCUGCAACUCGACCUCAUGAAGUCGGAGUUGCUAGUAAUCGUAGAUCAGCAACGCUACGGUGAAUACGUUCCCGGGGCUUGUACACACCGCCCGUCACGUCACGAAAGUCGGUAACACCCAAAGUUAGUGGCCCAACCGCAAGGGGGGAGCUACCUAAGGUGGGAUCGGUGAUUGGGACG
rnacentral:rRNA from 1 species